CUCCUACUGGAGGCAGCAGUGAGGAAUAUUGGUCAAUGGACGAGAGUCUGAACCAGCCAAGUCGCGUGAGGGAAGACUGCCCUAUGGGUUGUAAACCUCUUUUAUAAGGGAAGAAUAAGUUCUACGUGUAGAAUGAUGCCUGUACCUUAUGAAUAAGCAUCGGCUAACUCCGUGCCAGCAGCCGCGGUAAUACGGAGGAUGCGAGCGUUAUCCGGAUUUAUUGGGUUUAAAGGGUGCGUAGGCGGUUUAUUAAGUUAGUGGUUAAAUAUUUGAGCUAAACUCAAUUGUGCCAUUAAUACUGGUAAACUGGAGUACAGACGAGGUAGGCGGAAUAAGUUAAGUAGCGGUGAAAUGCAUAGAUAUAACUUAGAACUCCGAUAGCGAAGGCAGCUUACCAGACUGUAACUGACGCUGAUGCACGAGAGCGUGGGUAGCGAACAGGAUUAGAUACCCUGGUAGUCCACGCCGUAAACGAUGCUCACUGGUUCUGUGCGAUAUAUUGUACGGGAUUAAGCGAAAGUAUUAAGUGAGCCACCUGGGGAGUACGUCGGCAACGAUGAAACUCAAAGGAAUUGACGGGGGCCCGCACAAGCGGAGGAACAUGUGGUUUAAUUCGAUGAUACGCGAGGAACCUUACCUGGGUUUAAAUGGGAAAUGUCGUAUUUGGAAACAGAUAUUCUCUUCGGAGCGUUUUUCAAGGUGCUGCAUGGUUGUCGUCAGCUCGUGCCGUGAGGUGUCGGGUUAAGUCCCAUAACGAGCGCAACCCUUACCGUUAGUUGCUAGCAUGUAAUGAUGAGCACUCUAACGGGACUGCCACCGUAAGGUGAGAGGAAGGCGGGGAUGACGUCAAAUCAGCACGGCCCUUACACCCAGGGCUACACACGUGUUACAAUGGCCGGUACAGAGGGCCGCUACCAGGUGACUGGAUGCCAAUCUCAAAAGCCGGUCGUAGUUCGGAUUGGAGUCUGUAACCCGACUCCAUGAAGUUGGAUUCGCUAGUAAUCGCGCAUCAGCCAUGGCGCGGUGAAUACGUUCCCGGGCCUUGUACACACCGC
rnacentral:rRNA from 1 species